UACGGAGGGGGCUAGCGUUGUUCGGAAUUACUGGGCGUAAAGCGCACGUAGGCGGCUUUGCAAGUUAGAGGUGAAAGCCCGGGGCUCAACUCCGGAAUUGCCUUUAAAACUGCAUCGCUAGAAUUGUGGAGAGGUAAGUGGAAUUCCGAGUGUAGAGGUGAAAUUCGUAGAUAUUUGGAAGAACACCAGUGGCGAAGGCGACUUACUGGACACAUAUUGACGCUGAGGUGCGAAAGCGUGGGGAGCAAACAGG
rnacentral:rRNA from 1 species